rnacentral:rRNA from 1 species
UGAACGCUGGCGGUAGGCUUAACACAUGCAAGUCGAGCGGUAACAGACAUUUUGAUUUUGCUUGCAAAAUCUCGUGCUGACGAGCGGCGAACGGGUGAGUAACGCGUAGGAAUCUACCUAGUAGAAGGGGAUAGCCCGAGGAAACUCGGAUUAAUACCGUAUACGUCCUAAGGGAGAAAGAGGGCUUAGCUUUGAUGCUCUCGCUAUUAGAUGAGCCUGCGUAAGAUUAGCUUGUUGGUGAGGUAAAGGCUCACCAAGGCGACGAUCUUUAGCUGGUCUGAGAGGACGAUCAGCCACAUUGGGACUGAGACACGGCCCAGACUCCUACGGGAGGCAGCAGUGGGGAAUAUUGGACAAUGGGCGCAAGCCUGAUCCAGCCAUACCGCGUGUGUGAAGAAGGCCUUCGGGUUGUAAAGCACUUUAAGUAAGGAAGAAAAGAGUGUUGCUAAUACCAAUACUCCGUGACAUUACUUACAGAAUAAGGACCGGCUAAUUCCG